rnacentral:lncRNA from 1 species
AAGUGACGGAUUCCUAAAAUGAACUUUGGCGUGUGCAAAGAUGAGAGAGAGAGAGAGAGAGAGAGAGAGAGAGAGAGAGAGAGAGAGAGAGAGAGAGAGAGAGAGAGAGUACCCCGAGAAGGUCAGUAAGAGCAGCACGCAAUUCAGUCAUCACGGAGUGACAAACAUCGACAUUUUCAUCUGUUGACCGAACGGCUGCCCAUAUACGUUCUCCUAUCCCGGGACCUAAGUCAGGUCUGACUGUACUAACCCAUUCACCAUGGUUGCUCUUGAAUUCAUACCUAUUCUAUCAACCAAAUAAUAAAUUUGGAAUUCAUUAUGAACGACAAAUUUAAAUUUUGUUAAUCAAGGUGAAGAUGCAGAAAUUAUCACACUCAUAUUCAAGUCCACCAAAUCAGCACCUUACGAGAAGAUGAAAGGCGGUUGAUAGGGCUGCCAAUGACGGUAUAAUGUACUCUUCACUUGGAUUUCCUUUAUCCAAGAAAGAGUUCAAGCUUGGAACUUUGUCCUUGACAACAUCCCCGAGGUUAGCAUGUUUUAUAACUUGACCUGCAUUUGCAGAUAUAACGAGUGAGCGUCUUCUUUCCAUGUUAUGAGCUUGUCCCUAUCUCAGCAGGAGACCCAAUUUAAUAAGUGAAUAAUUUUCGGUUAAUAAUCUGUCUAUUGAACAUAAUGGCCAAUUUGUGUCUUAAAAUGCGGGGGAAUUAUAAAUUGGACUCGAUUCAUGUCAAUCAAAAUACUUACAGCGAGAGAUGAAACAGAUGAAUACGGUCAAAUCACUUACCCCCAAAUAACUUCUCAACUGAGUCAACAAGUACUUGUUUCACUCGACUGCUUGGAACACUUGAAAUCUGGAAACAGUCUUCUGCGAUGAUUAACUGAGUGGGUACGACAGGACCCGUAUCAGGCAAUUGGAGUAACACUCGUCCAAGUCUAUUCAAAAUUGCAGGAUUCCUUGCAAACCAUCCUAUAUCAGAAGUUAGUGUCAAAAGGAUAGUUUCCGAUUGCUUAGAGUGCUAGAUAGAUCAUUCGCAUAGGUAAAGCUUUCGAAGUACUAUAUUUCCAAUUGCAGAAAAAUUUAAACAAAGAAGUGUCACAAGUAAUAAUCAACAAAAAUGCAGAAUGCAUGGAUGGCAUAUGAAUCAUUAAAGCGGAAGAAGUUAGCUACUUUCUAGAAACAGAAAUAGAGAUUUCCUGUUAUAUAAAAUCAAGGGAAAACCAAAACAUGACUUUUUUUUGUCACAACCAGAAAUCUAUUUCCUAAGCCAGUCUGCAAUAUAAAAUGUCAUUGAUUUCUCACCCACUGUAUCGAAACUUUGUGCCAGAGGAGUAACUCCAGAAGUAGAAAUGACGCCAUGAGAUGGCCGAAACCCAAAAAUUCCACAAUAUGAAGCAGGAACUCUUACACUUCCUCCAGUAUCGGUUCCUGAAAAAGUGAGGGCCUUGUGCUUCAACUUAAAGAAGCAAGAAAACAACAAAAGCACACAAGGAAUAACUUACCUAAGGAAAAAUCUGCGAGGCCUGCAGCUACGACAACAGCAGAACCGCUAGAAGAGCCUCCAGGCACCCUAUCUGGUGCGCACGGAUUUCUGGGUGUGCCAUAAUGCUUGUUCUCUCCAUUCAUACUGCCAACAACACAAUGCAAAAUUCAAGGGCGUUUUCUGUUGAGUGAUUUUCGAAUGUCCAAAAUCAUUAUAUAAAUACUUUUACCACGAAAAUAGACUUGUAGGGAUCAAUCAUUUGUCAAAAUUUUUUGCAAACAAAACAGUAAUGCAAGUUUAAGCAUGUGAAGUAAGACAAGGCCUCUUUGCACUAACCAGUAAGCCAUUUCAUCCAUGACAGUUAUACCAAUACUUGUGGCACCUCCACUCAAUAUUGCCGAAACAGCCGGAGCUGUUGAUUCAGCAGCCGGGUGAGUCCUCGCCCAAUCAGGAUUCCCAAACCCAGUCACACGUCCAGCCACAUCAAAUCUGCCUCCAAGUUCAAAUUUUAGUGAAUACAAAAAUGUUUUGGCUUUUACACACACACACACACAAGAAAAAAAAAAUUGCACAAUUCAACACCCUGAAGUUCAUCAUCAUGGUUCCACAAGCACGCAUAAAACCACACAAAGCAGGAAGAUUUAUUAAAACGCUUCUCUGAAAAAGCACUUCUCAUCAUAAGUGCUUUUGUUGGAAGUAUUUUAACUUUAGUAGAAGCAAAUCCACCACAAAGUUUCAUUAAAAAUUCAAGUGCUUCAGGUAAAAAUAAAAAAUAAAAAAACUUUUGAACUUUUUUCUUUCUUUCUGAAAGUGCUUUUAGUCAUUCUCAAAUGAAGAAACGCCCAAUCACAGAAACAACCCACAAAAUUGGGUUGUUGUUGGAGAAAACUGCUUGAAUUCAAAUCCGAAAUUCGCAAGCAUCCACCAAAUAGAAGAGUGAUAUAAAUGAGGAAAAUUUAAGAGAGUAGCUCUCACAUGUCUUUAACAGCAAAGGUGAGGCUGCUCAGAGGAAGGUCAUGUGACGAAGACGGCGGCCGAAGAAGGAAUUUCUCCACGAAAGCUCCAUGUUCUGAGUCUAUCGCCAUCCCUCUCUGCCACUGCUGUCUCAGACAAUCUCAGCCUCAGCAGCAGCUCCACAUUUUGAUGACAGAAGUGAACAGCUCUCCACUCAUCAAUCAUGCGAUGAUCACUUCAGCCAGUGAGGACAAAUAUUAUUCCUUAAAAAAAAUCUGUGUUGAUAAGGCGGUCACUUCAGCCAGUGAGGACAAACUGGAAAUUCUGGAGGUUGCUUAAGUCCUCACUGUGGUCGUUAGACAUUGAGAAUCGAUAAAGUGGUACUUAAAAGCAGGAAAAACAACUUACCAUAAAAUCUGAAACAUCAAAUGUGUUUAAAAGGUCGUACCCAGUGCACAAGGCUCCCGCUUUACGCAGGGUUUGGGAGAGGUGAAUGUCGGCUAGCCUUACCCCCAUUUAUGGAGAGGCUGCUCUCAAGUCUCGAACCCGAGACCUACCGCUCAUGGGCGAAGGCACUUGCCAUCGCACCAAGUGCGACCUCAAAUGUGUUUGGUAAAAAAAAAAAAAGCUUAUUUAAAAAAUUGUUGUCAAUGACAACAAAAAAGCAUAGAAAAGCAGAAGUAGGAUCUACUAUGCUUUAAAAUUAUCUAAGCAUAGUGAACAGUGGCCAUUUGAUGAAAUUUUCAAAUAGCAAGUAUACCCCUGCCUUUUUUACAAAAUAACAAUCGUUGCCCGUGGAAUAUUAUCUUUGACAACUAUUAUAGGGAAUUAUUAUUAGCAUUCCAAAAGUCUCAUUUGACAUUCCAAACUUUCUAUAAUUAGAAAGAAAAAAAACACUUGUGAGGAGUGUAGAAUGAGAUUUUUGGAAUGCUAAUAACAGUUCCGUUAUUAUAUCACAUUAAAUGCCAUAUCAUUUUUAGUAUUUAACAUAUUCACAUUAAUUUUAUAUAAAAGUUGACAUAACACUCAGAUACUGUUUUCUUUUUUUUUACAAGCACUUUUACAAUAAAAGUUUAUUAAACGCUUAACAACUUUAUUUUACAGCUGUUCUGCUGUUUUUUUUUUUUUUUUUAACAUAACAAUACCAAACUAGCAAAACUUACAAGCACAUAUAUCAGGAAAAGAUUAUCAGAGUCUGCAACUCAAAAUCUUGUAGUCAACAUUCACAACUUCCCGACGUGUUCUUUGAGAGUGUCGUAAAGAGUCUCGACAAGAUUGAGCAGGAACCCGUCCGAGCCAUGCUUUGCCAGCAAGGAAACUGAAACGGGUAGGUUAUCGUACAUCCCUAGUGGUAUAGUCACCUGCAAAUACGUAGAAAUACGUUACAAACUUUCACAAGAUAUUUGCAGUCAUUGAAGAAGAAAAAGAUCGUAGUCAUAUACAAACAUGGAGACUGGAGAGGGGGAGGGAGAAGUAGAGAUAGAUAGAGGGCUUAAAAACCUGGCAGAAUCCGGAAACUACGGCAAUGGAUAGGAAGCUGAAAGCCCUGGCACGAAAAUUGUGCAGUGUUGUAGGAUCUGUUUGCAGCUUUGGUGGAUCCCCUGGAACUGUAGGCAUUGCGAGGACACCGAAAUCCUGAUGAGUAAAUCAAAGAGAUUGUGUUAUGUAUUCAUUAGAGACGGUAUGUAUCAUCCAUUUCUUCUGCUAAAGGUACCUUUUUAAGAGCAAAAGGAAGGAAGAUGCUAACAAAUAACAGUUUGUCAAAGAUGAGAGAGAGAGAGAGAGAGAGAGAGAGUACCCCGAGAAGGUCAGUAAGAGCAGCACGCAAUUCAGUCAUCACGGAGUGACAAACAUCGACAUUUUCAUCUGUUGACCGAACAGCUGCCCAUAUACGUUCUCCUAUCCCGGGACCUAAGUCAGGUCUGACUGUACUAACCCAUUCACCAUGGUUGCUCUUGAAUUCAUACCUAUUCUAUCAACCAAAUGAUAAAUUUGGAAUUCAUUAUGAACGACAAAUUUGAAUUUUGUUGAUCAAGAUGAAGAUGCAGAAAUUAUCACACUCAUAUUCAAGUCGAC